CUCUAGGUUUGGUUGCUCCACAUUGGAAGGUUUCCAGUCGUGUUCACCAGGCAUCCGUGGUGGUAGGAAGAGUAGAGACUGGGGUACAUGCAUUGGGAUUCAUCAAGGAAACAAAGCUGGACCAAAGAUGGCUGACUAGAAGCAGUGAGGACUCUUGGCUCUCAUGGAGAGAAAUGAAAGGGGCAAGUAAAUACAGCAACUUCAACUGAAACAUUCAUGUUCUCACAUUGAGACUGAUCAGGGAAAGAGCUCAACCCAUGCAGAAAGGAGAAAAGCAAAGCAGGGCGACAGCCCACUAGGAAAGGACAUGGAGCCAAGGGAACCUCUCCCUGCCCAGGCAAACAGUGAAUGAAUAUGUGACCCCUAGCAACCGCACUUCUUCCAUGGACCUUUGCAACUCUUGGGUCAGGAGAUCCCCUCAUGAAUCCACUCCACCAAGACUUGGUCUGACACACAAAGCUGCAUGAAGUCUCUGCUAAGCAACUGCCCAGGGGUGCACAGAGUCCCAGGAGCUUUACAUACUCUGGCCCCAGGAUCCCUGGUCAGGGUGAUUGCAACUCAGGCCAAGUGGGAGGUUGAACCUCCAUAUACACCCCUAGGAGGGGAGCUGAAGCCCAGAGGCCAAGUAGCAUUGCCCUGUGAUUCCCACUUCCUUGGCACCUCACAGGAUAAGACCCACUGGUUUGGAUUUCCAGCAAGCCCCCUGUUAAUGGUGUUGUGCCUACCUGGGAUAGGAUAGAGUUCCCAGGGGAAGGAGCAAGCCGCUAUCUUUUCUGUUUGGACAACUCAGCCAUUCCAGCAUGUGGGUGUAGGAGAGUCCAAACCACACCAACUGAGAACUGAUGGGACCUCCCAGCACAGCACAGCUGCUCUACCAAAACAUGGCCAGACUGCUUCUUUAAGUGGGACCUGAUCCAUUCCUCAUCUUAGGGCAGGGCCUCCCAACCAAGGCCUCCAGCCAACCCCACCCAUAUUCUCUGGCAGACAGAGUUUUGAUUUCUCCUUGGGAUGGAGUGCCGAGGGGUAGGGACGAGCCACCAUCUUUGCUGUUUGGACAACUCAGUCAUUCCAGCCUCUUGGCUUAGGAGAGUUCAAACCAUCUGAGGGCAGAAGUGGUACCCCAGCAUGACACAACUGCUCUACAAAAGCGUGGCAAGACCGCUUCUUUAAGCAGGUCCCUGAUCUGUUCCUCCUCACUUGGGAGAACUUCCCAACCAGGGUCUUCAGCCUCUCCCACUGAUGUUCUCUGGUUGACAAGGGUUUGAAAGCAUCCUGGGACAGAGUUACUAGAGAGAGGGGCAGGCUGCCAUCUUUGCUGUUUCUGCAAUUUAGCCGUUCCAGCUUUCAGGUUUUGGAGAACCCAACACCAUGAGGGGCAGAAAUGGUAUCCCAGCACAGCUCAGCUGUUCUACAAAAGUGGGGCUAGACUGCUUCUUCAAGCAGGUCCCUGAUCCUGUUUCUACUGGCUGGGUGAGACCUCUCAACCAGGGUCUCCAUCCACCUCCUACAGGUGUGUUCAGGCUGGCAACAGAUUUGUACACCCCUGGGACAGAGCUCCAAGAAGAAGGGGCAGGCUGCCAUCUUUGCUGUUUCACAGCCUUAACUGAUGAUACCUGUAGGUACUAGAAAUUCUGAGGUGACUAUGUUCUGGAAUGGAUGCCCAGCAAACCAUAGUAUCACUACGGUAAAGUGGUGAGACUGUUAAAAAGGAACCCUCCCUUCAAAAACUCCAUCCAGAGGCCAGCAACCCCAAAGAUUGAAGGUAGAUAAGCCCACAAAGAUGAAAAAGAAUCAGUGCAAGAAUGUGGAAAACUCAAAAAGCCAGAGUGCCCUCUCUCCUCCAAAUGACCACAUCACCUCUCCAGAAAGGGUUCAGAAUGGGGUUAAGGCUGACAUGGCUGAAAUGACAGAAGUAGACCUCAGAAUAUGGAUAAAAAUGAACUUCGCUGAGCUAAAGGAGCAAGUUCUAACUCAAUGCAAGGGAGCUAAAAAUCACAAUAAAACAUUGCAGGAGCUGACAAAAUAGCCAGGAUAGAGAAAAGCAUAACCAAUCUGAUGGAGCUGAAAAACACAAUACAAGAAAUUCAUAAUGCAUUUAUAUGUAUUAAUAGCAGAAUAAACCAAGUGGAGGAAAGAAUCUCAGAGCUUAAAGACUGUCUUUCUGAAAUAAGACAGGCAGACAAGGAUAGAGAAAAAAAGAAUGAAAAGGAAUAAACAAAACCUCUGACAAAUAUGGUAUUAUGUAAAGAGACCGAUUCUAUGACUGUUUGGUCAUAGAUGUUUUCCAAAAUAUGUUUUCCAAAUUGGUUCUGCUCUCCCCUGAAAGAGCUGGGGAGAAUGGAACCAAUUUGGAAAACAUAUUUCAGGAUAUCAUCCAUAAGAACUUCCCCAACCAUGCUAGACAGGCCAACAUUCAAAUUCAGGAAAUGCAGAGAACCCCAGUAAAAUAUUUCAUGAGAAGAUUAUCCCCAAGACACAUAAUUAUCAGAUUGUCCAAAAUUGAAAUGAAAUAAAAAAAUGUUAAGGGCAGCCAGAGAGAAAGGCCAGGUCACUUACAAAGGGAAGCCCAUCAGACUAAUGCAUUGAGAAGCAGACUUCUCAGUGGAAACCCUACAAGCCAGAAGACAUUGGGGGUCAAUAUUUAACAUUCUUAAAGAAAAUCAAUUCCAGCCCACAAUUUCAUAUCUGGCCAAACCAAGCUUCAUAAGUGAAGGAGAAAUAAAAUCCUUUUCAGACAAGCAAAUGCUGAGGAAAUUCACUGCCAUCAGACCUGCAUUACAAGAGCUCCUUAAGGAAUAAUAGAAGUGGCAUCAGAAUGAUCAGAAUGUGGAUAAAUAUGGAAAGGAAAAACCACUACCAGCCAUCAAGAAAAUAACUCAACCCAUGGAGGAUGGAGAAAAACAAGGCAGGAUGACUGCCCACCCAGGAUCAACACAGAGCCAGAGAAGCCACCCCCACCCAGGAAAGCAAUGAGUGAGUGAGUGACCUCGAGGACCCAUGCUUCUCCCAUGGGUCUUUGCAACUCUUGGGUCAGGAGAUUUCCUCAUGAACCCACUCCACCAGGGUCUGCAGUCUGAUAUGCAGAGCUAUGUGGAGUCUUGGCACAGCAGAUGCUCAGACACACACAAAGCCCUAGGGAGCCUUAGAUAUCUGGGCUUCCCAGCAAAAGUGGCUACAACUUCAGCAAAGUGGGAGGUUAGACUGCCAUACAUAUCCCUAGGAAAAGGGCUGAAUCCAGAAGGCUGAGCAGUGAUGGUUUACAGGCCCUGUUUCCAUGUCACCUCGCAGAAUAAGACCCACUGACUUGGAACUCUAGCCAGCUGCUGGUAGUGGCAUUACAUCUCUCUGAGACGGAGCUUCCAGAGAGGGGUGGGGCAGGCCACCAUCUUUUCUGUUUUGCAGCCUUUGCUGUUGUUGGAGUCACCCUACAGAAAAAGUGGACAGGCUGCUUUUUAAUUCGGGUCCCUGAUCCUGCUUCUUCUCACUGGGUGAGACCCCCUGACCGAGGUCAUCAGCCACUUUUCCUGGUGGCAGUUCUGGGCCUCCUUGGGAUGGAGUUCCCAGGGGGAGGGAUGGGCAGCCAUCUUUGUUGUUUCACUGCCUUAGCUGUUGUUGCCUUCAGGCUCUAUGGAGUCUAAGGUGACUAGGGACUGGAGCAGUCCCCCAGCACAGUGCAGCAGCUCUACAGUGAAGUGGCCAGAUUGCUUUUUCACGUGGUCCCAGAUCCCUUUUUACUUCAUUUGGAGGAAUCUCCCAGUCAAAGUCUACAACCACCCCCACCAAUGUGUUUGGGCCAGGAACAGACCUAUACCUCCUUGAGACAGAGCUCCCAGAGGGAGGAGCAGGCUGCCAUCUCUGCUGUUUUGCAGCCUUCACUGUUGAUAUCUCAGGUGCUAUAAAAUCUGAGGUGACUAGGGACCGGCGUGGACCCCCAGAAUACUGUAGCAGCUUUACAGAAAAGUGGACGGACUGUUACAUGGGUACCCAUUCCCAUAUCUCCUCACUGGGUGGGUCCUCCCAGCCUGGGUCUCCAGUCACAGCCCACUGGGAAUAUCAAGCCAGUAGCAGCUUUGCACCUCCUUGAGAGAGAGAGCCCCAGUGGGAGGAGUGGGUUGCUAUAUUUGCUGUCUUGCAGUGCUCAUCCUUGCUGUCUCCAGGCUUUGGAGAGUCCAGGAGAACCAGGGGCCUGUCCAGACUUCCACCUCAUGGAAAAGUGGCCAGACUGUUCUCCAUUCAUGCAUGCUUCCAGUUCCAGUCCGUAGAAGGAUGAAAUGGGCCGGCCUCACCCCUAUAGAAGAAGCCAGGUUCUACUAGGGAGCCAGUAGGCAUCUGGCACAACAGAAAGGCAGAAAAAGAAGCAAGCCAGCUCCACCAGUAUGCCGUUCCAUGGUACCCUAAGCCAGGUUCAGGCCCUGCAGCCCUGUGUGGUCCACUUGCCUACCCAACCACAACUGAUGCCUGUGAGGGUUCCCUGGCUGGUUCCAUCUAUCAACUCAACUUGGAGGAGAAGGCUUUUUGGUGCCUCAGACCCAUCUCUGUGGAUGAGCUGGACAUGAUUGACUUGACCUGCAGAAUGACAGAAACAUCAUGCCUCACUGGUCAGUGAGAUAUAACCAAGGUAUGGACAACCUGAACUUCCAGAUCCUCAAAGGACUGGCUGAAUCUUGGACACCUAAAUAGUGGAUCUCAAAUUCUUACUUGUGUUUAAUUGUACCCCUCCCAACUCCCCAGCAGUGGGAGGGCUUUCAGCCAAGGUAACCUGCUAUGAAGUUGCCUGGGAGGCAGGAAGUGGAUUAAAAAAUCUUCCUAGUGUCAACUUCUACUCCUUUCUGUAUCUCAUCACUGCCUAGAAACUUCUAAAGCUUUCAAAAACCUCACCCACCCAACCUCCACAGUGUCCUGCCUUUUUGACUCUCUUUCACUUAAUUAUCCAGCUAAGUUAUAAGCUUCCUGAGAGCAGGGAAAAUGUUUGUUUCAUUUCUACUUCCCUGAUACCUGACACAUCAUAGACAGGUUUUAAUAAACAUUUG
rnacentral:lncRNA from 10 species